rnacentral:rRNA from 1 species
GACGAACGCUGGCGGCGUGCCUAAUACAUGCAAGUCGAACGCAGUGGGGACGGGUGAGUAACACGUGGGUAACCUCCCAUCAGAGGGGAUAACACUUGGAAACAGGUUCUAUACCGAUACUGCUGGAUGUACCCGCGGUGCAUUAGCUGGUUGGUGCGGUACCGGCUCACAAGGGCAACGAUGCAUAGCCGACCUGAGAGGGGGAUCGGCCACACUGGGACUGAGACACGGCCCAGACUCCUACGGGAGGCAGGAGUAGGGAAUCUGCGGCAAUGGACGAAAGUCUGACCGAGCAACGCCGCGUGAGUGAAGAAGGUUUGCGGAUCGUAAAACUCUGUUGUUAGAGAAGCGGUAUCUAACCAGAAAGCCACGGCUAACUACGUGCCAGCCGCCGCGGUAAUUC